rnacentral:rRNA from 1 species
AGGAAUAUUGGUCAAUGGGCGCAAGCCUGAACCAGCCAUCCCGCGUGCAGGAAGACGGCGCUAUGCGUUGUAAACUGCUUUUCCAGGGGGUGAAUUUUCCGGUCGUGACCGGGAUUGACGGUACCCUGGGAAUAAGCAUCGGCUAACUCCGUGCCAGCAGCCGCGGUAAUACGGAGGAUGCGAGCGUUAUCCGGAUUUAUUGGGUUUAAAGGGUGCGUAGGCGGAUCAAUAAGUCAGUGGUGAAAACCUGCAGCUUAACUGUAGACUUGCCGUUGAUACUGUUGGUCUUGAGUAUGGUCAAGGUAGGCGGAAUGUGUAAUGUAGCGGUGAAAUGCUUAGAUAUUACACAGAACACCGAUUGCGAAGGCAGCUUGCUGGGCCAUUACUGACGCUGAUGCACGAAAGCGUGGGGAUCGAACAGGAUUAGA